CUGUGAACUGCUGAAAGUUGCUGUUCAAACCUGCAGAAUGCAGUGGUCCUUUUUCCUCUAGCGACUUUCUCCCCUACAUUGCUAAGGAUAGUAGUUUCUCUCAAACUGCUAGUUCCUGCAGAAAAAAUGAAUGAAACAAGCAGAAGUGCGGCUAUGACACAAAUGACAGAGGAAAACAGAAAACAAAUGGAUGUGCCACUUUGAUGAAAACGGCCAUUUUUGCCCUCCAGUGGAAGAACUCCUGCAGCUCACAACUGAAAAGGGAAGUAACCAGGAAAAUUCUCUAGGGAAUAUUCCUUGAAAUACGUCUUAUUUUUCAUAUUUCAUCAGAAAAAAACUGUAUGUAUUCUUUUUCUAUAACCGGUCACAUCCCAAAAGUGUGCUUUUCCCCCCAAAAACUCUCUGAGCUUUACUUUAUCAUUAAUCAUUGUUUUUAGCACUCAUCUGGCAGCAGGACUGUGCACAAGUGUAGCAGAUAGAGCAAAGUGUUCCUGGCAAGUGGUGCUGAAAGGAAGUAAAGGAGGAGAUCAUCAGGGUGACAACCAGACAGAGGGGCAGGGAGGAGACAACAACAGCCAUCCUAAUCAUGAAAACAUCGGCACGCUGCUGCUGGAGACUAAACUAAGAAGUGAAACGUGCCCCUAAAAAUUCCAUCUUCGCUCAAGUGGACCAACACAACAAGCAACAUGCAGUAGACAGAGGCAGACUUCUCAGCUGCCAGAUCAAAUGGCAGCAGAGAGGUUCAUUAUUGGAGACAGACUGCAAACAGCUCUGCAGAUCCCGGUUUUGUUGUGGUCGUCCCAGUAAGCACGCGAGUCCACGUAUGAGGAAGAGUUGAAUUGUGUAGGGUUGGAACAUAUCUCGGGGCAUUCAGUUGAAGGAUUGCUGUCUACAUAUUUUCUGCCAUUUCAUUCCCCAUCUUCUGGAAGCUGGCAGCCCCUCGGACUGCACAUAAUUUGAGUCAUCAGUCUCUAUUUCUACGCAGCAGAUGUUUCCCCAUGUCAGCAGGCCUCCUGACAAAGCAAGAUGGAGAACCCGCCUCUUUUAAAGUGUUGCACAUGAGUCCCCCCUUCUCCCCUUUCUGUCGCUCUGCCCACACGAACCUUUGUGAUCCCUUGGGAUACUGUCCCAUGUCCUAUCCUGAUAGUGGGGAAGCAUAUUUUAAUCAAUGCAUGCGUUUGCACAGAAGUAUGCAGGAGUGACACACAGGAACACAAAGACAGUGACUUAUUGUAUUUUUGUGGUUGGCUUGAUGACUAAUUUAUCCUGAAACAUAGACUGGGAUCCUGGAACCGCUCUGAAAGCCUGGUAAGAGACGCUAAUGGAAGGUGAUUAAUAGUCAACUGGGGCAAAUGAUUGCUAUGAUACUGGUAUCAUUACUGAUGAAACGGUAUUGAAAUGGACAUAAUGGAUAAUCACAUUUCUUUUGGUUACAUAAUUCCAAGUCAGGGUGAGAAGUCAGGGUGCAGGAAUGGUGAUUUGAAUUACCCUUUUGUUUCAAACAAAAAUGGUGCUGCAAUAUUGCAGCGUGUUUUGUGGAUUUGCAUUUUAAGUAGUAUGCCAUCUUAAUUUAAGUACAAAAAUGUACUUAUAUAUACAUGUAUAUAUAUAUAUAUAUAUAUAUUUCACCUGUAAUAAUAAAUCUAGUGUCAUUAUUGUGGGAUAUUUUGCAAGGCCUAUAAGGUGGAAAGAAAGCAAAAUGAAAGAAAGAAAUGCCUUAAAAUAAAUUAGACAGUACUUUAAUAGUGCGUACCUCUCC
ensembl:lncRNA